rnacentral:misc_RNA from 1 species
GACGAACCGUCCAAACGUUAUUCGGUAUCACUGGGCUUAAAGAGUUCGUAGGCGGCCUAGCAGGUCAGGUGUGAAAUCCCACAGCUCAACUGUGGAACUGCGCUUGAAACCGCAAGGCUCGAGGGAGAUAGAGGUGAGCGGAACAGAUGGUGGAGCGGUGAAAGGCGUUGAUAUCAUCUGGAACACCGGUGGCGAAAGCGGCUCACUGGAUCUCUUCUGACGCUGAGGAACGAAAGCUAGGGUAGCAAACAGG